rnacentral:rRNA from 1 species
UACGUAGGGGGGCAAGCGUUUGUCCGGAAUCAUUGGGCGUAAAGAGCGUGUAGGCGGCCCGAUAAGUCCGCCGUGAAAGUCCAGGGCUCAACCCCUGGAAUGCCGGUGGAAACUGUCGGGCUGGAGUCCGGAAGAGGCGAGUGGAAUUCCUGGUGUAGCGGUGAAAUGCGCAGAUAUCAGGAGGAACACCAGAGGCGAAGGCGGCGACCUGGACAGUUACUGACACUCAACUACGAAAGCGUGGGGAGCAAACAGG